rfam:Heligmosomoides polygyrus genome assembly, scaffold: HPBE_scaffold0001248
CACCGCCCGUCGCUGUCCGGGACUGAGCUGUCUCGAGAGGACUGCGGACUGCUGUAUCGAGGCCUUCGGGUCGCGGUAUGGCGGGAAACAGUUCAAUCGCAAUGGCUUGAACCGGGUAAAAGUCGUAACAAGGUAUCUGUAGGUGAACCUGCAGAUG